GAUUGCACCACUGCACUCCAGCCCGGGUGACAAUGCACGACUCCAUCUUAAAAAAAAAAAAAAAAAAUUAAGAUAACCUCUGGGUGAUUGUCACGUGCACCUGGAUAAAAAUGACUUUUAGGUCAGAAAGUGCCAGAAGGUGAGAAAUUUGGAUUCAUCUUAAAGCAUUGGGGGAUUUAUCCUACUGCAAUGAAUAGCCAUUGAAGAAUUUUAAGCAAGAAGUGAUGUGAUUAAACUUAUAGAAAUGUGGAAAAUGGAUUAGAGAGUGAGACUGUAUCCAUAGAGGUAUGUUGGAAUAGUCUGUGUGAGAGUUGUUUUAGCCUAAAUUUAAGCAGUAAUGGGAGGGAUAAUGAGAAGAAGUUUGAGAGAUACUAAAAGUGAAAAGUUAACAGACUUGAUUUUAUUUAGACAGUGCAGUCAUGUAUGUAUUAUACAAUAUUCUUUCAGCCACAAAAGGCAGAUUACUAGGUUAUCCUUCAAACAGAUAAGGGCUGUAUGAAAUAGAUACUGCCCCUACUACUUCUUAAGUCUUUCACCUACUGUUCUAAAUGAAGAAGACAAUGGGAAGCCACUGAAGGACUGUUAACCGGAAGGGUCACAAUCACAUCCACGUUUUAAAGCUAUUAGUUUGGCUAUAAUAAUAAGAGAUUGGAAGGGCACGUAUUGGAGGCAGGAAGGCAGUUGGAAGGAAGACUGCUGUAGUAAUUGGAACCAAAGAUGAUGAUACUGUAAGUGAUUGAUAGUGUCAGUGAGGAUGGAGAAGAAGGCAAGGAUUUGAAAAAGAAGUAGGAGGUAGACUGAGCAAGACUUGGAGUCUUAUUCUAACUGGGGAUUAAAGAUGACCUGAAGGUUUCUAACAUGAGUGACUUUGAUGCUUGAUGACACCAUUUCCCUAAAAAAGAUUAUAGGCCUUGGAAAAUGGUGCCUCGCAGCUUGGGUAGUCUUACAAUCCUGGUGCUUUGGGCUGCUGCCCUGCUCCUUGCUCUGGGCGUGGAAAGGGCUCUGGCGCUGCCCGAGGUAUGCACCCAGUGUCCCUGGAGUGUGCAAAAUUUGUCCAAAGUGGCCCUUUGUUGUAAAACAACACGAAAGCUAAUGCUGCAUGCCCAUUGCUACCUGAAUCAGAAGGGCACCAUCUUGGGGCUAGAUCUCCAGAACUGUUCUCUGGAGGACCCUGGUCCAAACUUUCAUCAGGCACGUACCACUGUCAUCAUAGACCUGCAAGAAAACUCUGUCAAAGGUGACCUGGUCAACACCUUCCGUGGCUUUACUCAGCUCCAGACUCUGAUACUGACAGUUGACAGAUGUCAACUGUCCUGAAGGAAUUAAUGCUUGGAAUACUGCCACCUCUUAUAUAGACAACCAAAUCUGUCAAGGUCAAAAAAACCUUUGUAAUAACACUGGGAACCCAGAAAUGUGUCCUGAGAAUGGAUCUUGUGUACCUGAUGGUCCAGGUAUUUUUGCAGUGUGUUUGUGCUGAUGAUUUCCACAGAUAUAAGUAUAUGUGCCAGGGCUCGUUCUCACUGCUUAUGUUCUUUGGGAUUCUGGUAUCCACCACUCUAUCCAUCUCCAUUCUGUUUUAGGGGACCCAACGCUGAAAAGCCAAGACUUCAUGAACCACAUAGGUCUUACCAUUGACCUAAGAUCAAUCUGAUGUAUGUUAGCCCAUCCAGGGAGCUCUGCUUCCUAGACAGGCAUCUUUGGCCAGUGGAUUUGCCUGAAGGUUGAGGCCGCUAUUGGAAGUUGAAAAAUUGCACUCCCCUGGUGUAGACAAGUACCAGUUCCCAUUUGUGUUGUUGUCUAUAAUAAACACUUUUUUCUUU